rnacentral:rRNA from 1 species
UGGGGAAUUUUGGACAAUGGGGGCAACCCUGAUCCAGCAAUGCCGCGUGCGGGAAGAAGGCCUUCGGGUUGUAAACCGCUUUUGUCAGGGACGAAAAGGUGCUUGUGAAUAAUGAGCGCUGCUGACGGUACCUGAAGAAUAAGCACCGGCUAACUACGUGCCAGCAGCCGCGGUAAUACGUAGGGUGCAAGCGUUAAUCGGAAUUACUGGGCGUAAAGCGUGCGCAGGCGGUUGGGUAAGACAGAUGUGAAAUCCCCGGGCUUAACCUGGGAACUGCAUUUGUGACUGCUCGACUGGAGUAUGUCAGAGGGGGGUGGAAUUCCAAGUGUAGCAGUGAAAUGCGUAGAUAUUUGGAAGAACACCGAUGGCGAAGGCAGCCCCCUGGGGCAAAACUGACGCUCA